UUCCAAUCGACCUCCAGCUCCAGGCAGGCGGUGCCGCGAAAGUUUGAGCUCGAAAUUCCGCCCAACUAAUCCUGCUCUGACAAGUUUGGCCUCACAGAAAGUGAUGAAGAUGACACUGAUAUUUAUACUUAUAGCCGUCGCACAGACAGUGAAGACGUGGGCUCAAGAGAGACUCAAGUUCCAGUGAGGACCCAAGUGACAGCCACCUGACAGUGAUGAGGAGCAAGAACAAUGGAGAAAACAGCAGGUGAUAACAGCGUGGCUGGUCCCUUGCCUGUGGGCUCAUCUUCUGGCAUCUCUGGCCUGAUAGAGUAAGGUGAUAGCAGCAUGGUUGGUCCCCUGCCUGUGG